CCAGAAAAGCUUUUAAUAUGUUUGCUGGCUUAACCAUAAAAGCAAAGCAAAUUGUUCUUGAGAUCUUCAAAGCAGGCGUGCAGGUUUCACCAGUUCUUCCGCUUGCCCUGGGCAGGUCUGCAAGUCUGCUGGAACCUGGCACACAGCGGCCCUCCUGCCCAGCCACCCAGUUCCUGAGCUUCCUCUCCAUGCAAGAGUCCACUUGUAAAACAAACAACAGGCUUGGAAUUGUUCCUCCCCUUCACCACCAAAUAGAGACAGAUCUCUGCGGGUGGAGGACCCUUACCAAAGUAGUUGGAGGGGAUGCCUUAGGUCACACGACUUUCUUCUAAAAGACUCUGGUUAUAUAGGAGUCCUAUAUGGCUAAAAGGACUUCUCUUGUUUGUCCUGGAUGUGACAUCAAGUUUAAAAAAAAUCUCACUCCCGUUCAGGAGCCUGGCAACCAUGCAUUACCCAACAACGGUUACCAUGGCUGCAAGGAGGAAGCAGACAGCAAGCCCACAGAAGUGUGUAUUGAAGAAAGGGAAGUCAAUAGCUCCUGGAGUUAACAAGUGACUGUUAUUUACGGAAGGAAUGGUAUUUGCAGAUGGGAAUGACUGCAAAAUGCAUAGAAGGACACAGCCAUGCCCUUUCCACGGAAGUCACAGAACACACCUCGACACACUGAGAAGACGUCCACGACAGGGAAAGAUGACGAAGGUCUCCUUUCUUCCACAUUGUAGGAGAUUUUCUGCCAUAAAGUCAUUAUAUUCUAUAGUUGUUUACGUCCUCGGCAUUUGGAGAUAGCUUUUCUCGUGAAGUGAAGACUGGCUCAGAUUGUUUGAUUAACUGCAAGAAUUGUGGCAAUGGGAGGAAGAAUUCAUGAAGGAUGCCUCCCUUACCUGUAUAGAGUUGUUUUCAUUGAUAAAUGGUUGUGAUCCGUAAAAUUGCAGAUAUCGACAUUUAUUUAAGGAGAAUGAGCUGUAUUUGGGCAGAUUUGGCUUUGAAUUCUGUCUCUACCUCUUAGAGACUAUGUGACAAUUGUUACUUAAUGUCUGAGUCUCAAAUUUCUCGUCCUGUAAACUGAACAUAACACUUACACUGAAUGUCAUGCUUACAUUACAGGAUGUCCAUGUUCUUCUAAUCGUGCCUUUCUAGUUUCUGUAUUCUCUGAUGUUUUGACUUCUGGGGUCUUGCUGAUCCUGGAGAGACUCCCCCUCCCAGGGCUGGUCAGUUCCUAGUAGUAGUAAGUAUGCCUUUUGUAUGCAAGCCACCAAUCCAAAGCCCAUUCCCCCAGUGACCCCCUUUAUCUAGCUCUCACUUGCAGAGCCACUAUCCCCCUGCCCUAAUCACCCCAGGGACAGAUAUUAAACAACUAGAAAUAGCCACGAUGCCCUAGACCCCGGUGAAAUUACUUAAAAUGGAUAGUACUACACCUGCUUGCCUGCCCUACAUUUCCCCCUCACAAUCCAUAAUAAAGUCUCUUGCCCACAUUUUCUUCUCAUUCCCUCUGCCUCCCAACUCAUCCUGGCGCUUCCCCACGUGGCCCUGCUUGGCAUGGUGUGACCUCCGCUUUUGAACUGUGAGUACACACUCUCUACAUAAUGGCAGUCAUCUCUUGACCCAUUUCCCUCACCAUACCCGAAUAAUAAUAAAACCUACUGUCUCAGCCUAUUUGGGCUGCUAUAACAAAAUACUAUAGACUGAGUGGCUUAAACAGUAAGUAUUUAUUUCUCACACUUCUGGAGGCAGGGGAGUUCACAGUCAAGGCACUGAAGGACUCAGUGUCUGCUGAGAACCUGCUUUCUGGCUCAUGGGCAACCAGCUUUUCUCUGUGGCUGAAAGAAGCCAAAGCACUCUCUAAGGUCUCUUUUAUAAUAGCACUAAUCUGUUCACAGGGCCUCCAUCCUCGUGAUGUAGGUGGAACCCUGGUGAAUAACCUCACCUCUGAACGCCAUCACAUUGGGGGUUAGGACUGUGAUACAUACUCUUGGAGGAGACACACACAUUCAAUCCACAACACUCAUGAUGUAAAAACACAUGCCUCAAUCUCUGGAACCUGUGAAUAUUACCCUGUAUGGCAAAAGAGACUUCACAGGUGUGAAGAAAACAUGAAUCUUGAGAUGGGAGAUUAUCUUGGGUUAGCCAGGUGGGCCUGGUGUGAUCACGAGGAUCCUUAGAAGGGGGAGGCAGGAGAUCAGCAUGAGUAGCAGAGGAGGGUGAGGCCACAAGCCAAGGAAUGCUGAUGGCUUCUAGAAGCUGGAAGAGGCGGGGAAUGAAUUCUCCCCUGGAACCUUCGGAAGGAAUCAACACUGCCAACACCUUAAUAGUAGUCCUGUAAGGCCUAUUUCUGGCACUCUGACCUCCAGAACUGUGAUAAUAAAUGUGUGUUGUUUUGAGCCAC
rnacentral:lncRNA from 1 species